GGGGGGGGCCUUCGGGAGGCAGCAGUGGGGAAUUUUGGACAAUGGGCGCAAGCCUGAUCCAGCAAUGCCGCGUGAGUGAAGAAGGCCUUCGGGUUGUAAAGCUCUUUUGUCAGGGAAGAAACGGUUCAGGCUAAUAUCCUGGGCUAAUGACGGUACCUGAAGAAUAAGCACCGGCUAACUACGUGCCAGCAGCCGCGGUAAUACGUAGGGUGCAAGCGUUAAUCGGAAUUACUGGGCGUAAAGCGUGCGCAGGCGGUUUUGUAAGUCUGACGUGAAAGCCCCGGGCUCAACCUGGGAAUUGCGUUGGAGACUGCAAGGCUUGAAUCUGGCAGAGGGGGGUAGAAUUCCACGUGUAGCAGUGAAAUGCGUAGAGAUGUGGAGGAACACCGAUGGCGAAGGCAGCCCCCUGGGUCAAGAUUGACGCUCAUGCACGAAAGCGUGGGGAGCAAACAGGAUUAGAUACCCUGGUAGUCCACGCCCUAAACGAUGUCUACUAGUUGUCGGGUUUUAAUUAACUUGGUAACGCAGCUAACGCGUGAAGUAGACCGCCUGGGA
rnacentral:rRNA from 1 species